GUUUUCCUUUCCCCAUCACGAUUAAAAGAUUCAAAGAAAGGGUAAAUUUUAUACCCUUAAACUUGCAGGUUAUAUUAAUAAAAACCCUAAACUAAUAAUUGCUUUCAUAAGUGACUACUAAACUAUUUAUUAAUGAUUUCUAACUGUUCUCACUUGAUUCCAUUUAAAAUCAUCUUAAAAUUGCCUAAAUAAUAUUAUUCUUCGCCUAAUCUGAACUAUUAUCACAUCAUUCUUUCUAAAUGAGUAUAAAAACUAGAGGAAGAAGAAGAGCACACAAUAUUAAUAAAACCUUUUUUUCUUUUUUGGUGUGAACCUCCAACCUCGAGGGAUAGAGUGCAUGUUCAAUUACUGUUGAGUUAUGCUCACUUCGACUAUGAAAGCUGCUACUACCUACUUGAUUCUAGUAUUAUUUAUAUCUAACAUUGUGGUAACGAUGAGUUAUGUCUAAAUUGAUGUAUUUUUUUAAAGUUUUGGGUUUUAGUUAAUACAACCAUAAGUUUAAGAUUGUGGUUUGCGAGGGUGUGUGCCCUAUCAUAGGAUCUUUGGAGGGAGAGGAACAAUAGAGUGUUUAGAGGUGUGGAUAGGGAUCCUAAUGAGGUUUGAUCCUCAGUAAGGUUCCAUGUCUCUCUUUGGGCUUCGGUUUCGAAGACUUUUUGUAAUUAUUCCCUAGGUAGUAUGUUACUAGUUGGAAACCCUUUCUUUAGAAAGGAUUUAAGGCUUGAUUUUUUUAUGCCCUUGCAUUUUUUUUUCCAAUUUUUUUCUCAAUGAAAGCCGUUGUUUAUUUUAAAAAAA